UGCACUUUUCAGACAGUUUAGGGAUGGC
rnacentral:piRNA from 1 species